UCGACCGCUGAACAGGGUUCGACACAAGUCCAGGAGACGCCGGUCGUUCUGGGCGUCUCCUUGUAUCCAUGUUGCUUGUUAGGAGGAUAUGGCUAUGAGAA
rnacentral:sRNA from 1 species